GAUGAAGAACGUAGCGAAAUGCGAUAAGUAAUGCGAAUUGCAGAAUCCGUGAGUCAUCGAAUCUUUGAACGCACAUUGCGCCCCCUGGAAUUCCGGGGGGCAUGCCUGUUCGAGCGUCUCAGGGACGAACCCUCGCGCGGGUGUACGCGCGGUCGUGGCUGCGGUGGCGUGCCCGAGGCGGCGGCCACCGCGCUGGAAUCCAUGGGCGGACGCCUGCCGCGUGGCCGAGCGUGAUAUGACGCAUUGGCGCUCGCACGCGGAGAGGCUGCCAGCCCUGGCCCGUCUGUCGGGCGGGGGAGAGCAAGACACGUGAACUCCUCGAAUCAGGUAGGGAUACCCGCUGAACUUAAGCAUAUCAAUAAGCGGAGGA
rnacentral:misc_RNA from 1 species